rfam:Canis lupus familiaris chromosome 32, whole genome shotgun sequence.
AGGAGGAACAACCCCAGUGGCGGCGGCCAGCUCUGGAGCCCUGGAGUCAGCUCCCGCAGUAACUCCGGAGCUCUCCAUCUGCAGGGCCUGGAUGCUCUGGGGGCGG